CCUGGUGUCAAUAGCGCAGUGGACCCACGGCGAUCCAUCUCGAACUCGCAGGUGAAACGCUGCAGCGGCGACGAUACUGGACGGGUUGCUGUCCGGCAAAAUAGUUCGAUGCCAGGU
rnacentral:rRNA from 1 species